UAGCUUCUUCGCUACGCUCGGAAUUUAACAAUAUGUCUAUUAAUCAUCUGCUCAGAAUCAUAUUUCUUUAAAAAUGGUGUAUUAUUGCGUAUUGUAUUACUCUAAAUAUCUUCUAUUCCAACAUUACUUCUAAAACAGUAUCUCGCUCAUCAGCAGUAUCAGCCUAUUUUUUACCAACGGUUUCUCAGAAAUAAACAAAAAAUGGCAAAUUUUUCCUAUUUAUUAAAAAUACUACAAGAAAAAUAAAAAAAUUUACCAUCUCAAUUCACUAGUUAAAUCUAAGUUUUUAUUGGAGCGAGAUUUUAGUAGAAAAUUUGUUUACGCACCCACAUAUACAUAAAAAAAGGGUGAUACUGAGAACGGGUUAGGUAAUUGUUGUAGGUGGGAUACAUAAAGUUAUUUAAUUUGUACUUGUUAUCAACGAUAAGCCAUUGCUAACGGAAAACGAUUUGGAGCGAAGUUCU